GGGGCAGUUUCAGUUUCGAUUGCGGCGGGGAGACGACGUAAGCAUACCAAAGGCUCGGCUUUGUAAAAACGGAAACUUAAAUUUAAAUGCAGAAAAAAAUUCUGAAAAAGUAAUGGCUUUCCCUGCUCGUCAGGCUAGCCUUGCUUGCGCAGCUUAAACUAUUGCUGUCCGUCGGCGGUACUCUCUUUCGCCUGAGUGCCGUCGGCGCUAAUCUCGGCGGAACUUUUGCAGUGACUUAACCGCUACAUGCAAAAGAAUUUUUGCGGUUUGCCCGCACAUAUUGCCCGUUUACACGGCGAGUGUGCGGAAAGAUUAAUGUGUAAACUAAGUAUGUAGAAAGCGCGUCCGAACGUCGUAAGACCGGGGUGCAAGUCCCCGCUGCUCCACCA
rnacentral:tmRNA from 1 species